rnacentral:rRNA from 1 species
UUUGGUGGCGAUAGCGAAGAGGUCACACCCGUUCCCAUGCCGAACACGGAAGUUAAGCUCUUCAGCGCCGAUGGUAGUUGGGGGCUUCCCCCUGUGAGAGUAGGACGCCGCCAAG